CUACGGGCGACUCCAGUGGGGAAUAUUGGGCAAUGGGCGCAAGCCUGACCCAGCAACGCCGCGUGAGGGAAGAAGGUUUUCGGAUUGUAAACCUCUGUCCUUGGGGACGAAGAAGUGACGGUACCCAAGGAGGAAGCUCCGGCUAACUACGUGCCAGCAGCCGCGGUAAUACGUAGGGAGCAAGCGUUGUCCGGAAUUACUGGGCGUAAAGGGUGCGUAGGCGGCAUAUUAAGUCAGGUGUGAAAUACUCGGGCUCAACCCGGGGGCUGCAUUUGAAACUGAUAUGCUUGAGUGUGAGAGAGGAAAGUGGAAUUCCUAGUGUAGCGGUGGAAUGCGUAGAUAUUAGGAGGAACACCAGUGGCGAAGGCGACUUUCUGGCUCAUAACUGACGCUGAGGCACGAAAGCGUGGGGAGCAAACAGGAUUAGAUACCCCCGUAGUC
rnacentral:rRNA from 1 species